rnacentral:rRNA from 1 species
AGUGAACGCUGGCGGUAGGCCUAACACAUGCAAGUCGAACGGCAGCACAGUAAGAGCUUGCUCUUACGGGUGGCGAGUGGCGGACGGGUGAGGAAUACAUCGGAAUCUACUUUUUCGUGGGGGAUAACGUAGGGAAACUUACGCUAAUACCGCAUACGACCUACGGGUGAAAGCAGGGGAUCUUCGGACCUUGCGCGAUUGAAUGAGCCGAUGUCGGAUUAGCUAGUUGGCGGGGUAAAGGCCCACCAAGGCGACGAUCCGUAGCUGGUCUGAGAGGAUGAUCAGCCACACUGGAACUGAGACACGGUCCAGACUCCUACGGGAGGCAGCAGUGGGGAAUAUUGGACAAUGGGCGCAAGCCUGAUCCAGCCAUACCGCGUGGGUGAAGAAGGCCUUCGGGUUGUAAAGCCUUUUUGUUGGGAAAGAAAAGCAGCAGGUUAAUACCCCGCUGUUCUGACGGUACCCAAAGAGUAAGCACCGGCUAACUUCGUG